rnacentral:snRNA from 1 species
GCUCAUUUCAGCAUGCAUAUACUAAAAUUGGAAGAGCACAGAGAUUAGCACAGCACUGUGCAAGGAUGACAACCAAAUUUGUGAGUUAUUCCACAUUAUG